ACCAGCAUGGCUUAAUGGUCUGAGUGUUGGAUUAUGACUCUGGAGCCCUGGGUUUGAUUCCCAGCUCGGCCA
rnacentral:tRNA from 1 species